AUUGAACGCUGGCGGCAGGCCUAACACAUGCAAGUCGAGCGGAUGAAGGGAGCUUGCGCCUGGAUUCAGCGGCGGACGGGUGAGUAAUGCCUAGGAAUCUGCCUGGUAUUUGGGGAUAACGUCCGGAAACGGGCGCUAAUACCGCAUACGUCCUGAGGUAGAAAGUGGGGGAUCUUCGGACCUCACGCUAUCAGAUGAGCCUAGGUCGGAUUAGCUAGUUGGUGGGGUAAAGGCCUACCAAGGCGACGAUCCGUAACUGGUCUGAGAGGAUGAUCAGUCACACUGGAACUGAGACACGGUCCAGACUCCUACGGGAGGCAGCAGUGGGGAAUAUUGGACAAUGGGCGAAAGCCUGAUCCAGCCAUGCCGCGUGUGUGAUGAGGGUCUUCGGAUUGUAAAGCACUUUAAGUUGGGAGGAAGGGCAGUAAGUUAAUACCUUGCUGUUUUGACGUUACCAACAGAAUAAGCACCGGCUAACUUCGUG
rnacentral:rRNA from 1 species